CAGGGCUCCAGGAAGGGGCGUCCCGGCGGCUCCUCGCCCUCUCCCGCGUUCUCUUCUACUUGCCGCCCCUGAGUCUCCUGGAUUUACGGUGACACUGCAGCCAGGGCUUGGGGAACAAGACAUCUAGAGGACGGCAGGCAACUGGGACCGCAGCACGAGCCUGGAGUCUGGGAGUCUGCGAGGUGUCUGGAGAAGAUGCAGCUGCUGCAGCCUGGACCUGUCUGUACCUGCCCCAGGAGGGAGGGCAGGAGGAUUUCCCAGAAUGCCAAGCAGCCAGCUUCAGGCCAGCCCCAGCCAGAGGGAAAGUGGUUCCAAGCUCCAUGUGUCCUGCUAGGCAACUUCAGCAUCUGGAACCCCCCAGCCUGACGUCAGCCUUCACUCACCCAAACACUUCCAGCUGUAGGUCUGGCACACAGAUAUUGUCUUCUCCACAGUCCAGCA